UGGGGAAUAUUGCACAAUGGGCGAAAGCCUGAUGCAGCAACGCCGCGUGAGUGAUGAAGGCCUUCGGGUUGUAAAGCUCUGUCUUCUGGGACGAUAAUGACGGUACCAGAGGAGGAAGCCACGGCUAACUACGUGCCAGCAGCCGCGGUAAUACGUAGGUGGCAAGCGUUGUCCGGAUUUACUGGGCGUAAAGGAUGCGUAGGCGGAUACUUAAGUCAGAUGUGAAAAUCCCGGGCUUAACUUGGGAACUGCAUUUGAAACUGGGUAUCUAGAGUGCGGGAGAGGAGAGUGGAAUUCCGAGUGUAGCGGUGAAAUGCGUAGAGAUUAGGAAGAACACCAGUGGCGAAGGCGACUUUCUGGACCGUAACUGACGCUGAGGCAUGAAAGCGUGGGGAGCAAACA
rnacentral:rRNA from 1 species